rnacentral:lncRNA from 1 species
CACCAGGGAGUUGACACAAUUCACCAGAGUUGGUGGCUUAAAGCACCAAUCUAAUCAUGUCACGUGCCAUGCCAUAAAUGAAGGUAUUUAGAGAAAAAAAUAAAGGAUUAAUAAAAGGCUAUGUCCCAUUUCAUGCGCAUCGGCGCUACCCCCGCCGUCGCACCGGCGCCCCAGCAAUCCCUUGGUCCUCGAUGGGCCGCCAUCACUCCUCAUCGUAGGCCUCCACAAUACCCACAUCUGCAUGGUAAUCUUGCUAUUCUUUCGCCACCAAAAGGGCUAACGGUGGUUUGGCUCUCUGGGACAAUCCCUCA